CCUGGUGGAUAGUAGUGGACGAACUAAUGGUAGACCAAAUGAUCAUUGAUGAGUUGGUAAUUGGACAAAUUGGCAUUAGACCAAUUGGAAAUAAACCAAAUCACCAAUGUCAUCAAUUACUUUCAAGCUUAGUGCUGAACUGACUAAAAAUAAAAUUACCUACAACCAACAACAAAAUGUCAGCAACAAACUUGAGAGCGCAUACAUUCGUAAUUCCGAAGCUUCGUUAUUCCGAAGGUUCGGAUAUUCUGAAGGCUCCUUAUUCCGAAGUGUAACCCUUGAGAGAGUGAGCAACAGACAUAUCCCUGUUUUUACAGGAAAUGUCAUUUCAGGUACCUGUCUCAUUGUGCAAUCAUAGGGUAUGCAUAACUACAUGAACAUGUAUACAUGUAUAGGUUAGUCUUAUAUCAGCCUUUACAAACCUAACAUAUGUUACAAAGUUAAGGACUUUGGGAUUUAAAGGUUUUCACAAAAGCAUUGCCACUUCCUCUGUGAGAGGUUGAUGAAUAUGCAAUAGAAUCAAAUACCCCAACACUUAUUCAAAUGUAUUCAUAAAUAUAUAUUUUUUUCAAAUUAUGGAAUGCAUUAUAUGAGUAGAUUUCAAUACACAUAAUUCCCUUGUUAUCAUCUGUACAGUACCACUCGUAGAAAAAAAAAACAAAGACGAGGACAAAGAUGACACACAUCAUAUUCUUUCUCUUUGAAAGUUUGGAUUUCUGUUUGAAAGAAAACUGCACAUCAAAUAGGAUCUAUCAAAAUGGAAACUGAAGCACCCCUUCCCAUAUACAUGUAUAUUUUAACCAAAUUAAUUCAUUUAACCAAUAUUAUAUGCCAUGCCAAUAUUAAAUAAAUAGUAAACUCACAUGGCAUCAACAAAUUUCUAUACAUGUAUCCCAAAUAAUGGAUUUUAGUAUUCUAUCCUUCUAUCUUAUCAAUGAGACAAUCAAUUUUAUAAAUAA